rnacentral:misc_RNA from 1 species
GUGCCCGUCCACCGAACGGUCGGCAGGCGAUCCGCGUCGGUCGCGCUGGGUGGUAUGGUUCCCCAGAGGCCGGUUCUUGUGCUGCCUACCCCUUCAGGGGAAGAGUUCCAAACUUGAUGUAAGCCUCCAUCCGGCGCCCUCCAAAGGGCGCGGGAGGACAACGGAGCACCCCCCGCGUUCCACCGAGCCUCCUCGGUCGCGUGGCCCGCGGGGACGUGCGAUGCUCUCGGACCCAGCGAACGCCGUGGGCGAGGACUCACGUCCCGGUCCCAAGUGAAGCAACGGUAUAACGCACGACGGCCGCUCCCGCCCCACGACCGCCCCGGCGGCGCGGGGGCGAAGGCGCGGCGUCGCUGAGGAAUGCU